GAGAAAUUGCAGCAACAAUGUGAAUGGGCAAAAAAAAACAACAAAAAAGUGAAGAGCUAAAUUGUAAAUCGAAAUUCCAAGAAGUGAGCUUUUGGUAUGUGUGCAAGCGUUUGAGAUACUUUUGCGCGCGCGAAUUUCGCAAAUCACGGCUAAAGGGAUAAAGGGGUGGACAAAAAAAAGGUUAAGGCUGGGCGGUCCUCGCUUCGCUGUUGUGUGUGUGUGUGUGGCAGACAAGGCAAUGCAAUUAAAAAAAGGCGCAAAGAGGAUCAGCAAUUGGUGGUCUCUAGGUUUAUCCCGAAAAGCAAAUCAACAGAAAACUUAUUAAAUCUAUACAAUUAAAAGUCGGAGCUGAGACCUAGCGGAGACUAGUCCCAGGACUGGUCAAGGAUAUUAAUGAUUGGCUGACCACCGCCAAGGACACUGUCCCGGGACAUGCGGGACCCGACUGCGAGUAAUGCAUUUAAAAAGGUGUCUAAUGCGGAAAAUCCUGUUUGGAUAAGAUGCACCCGGCAAGGAGGAUACACAAUAAACGUCAAGGAUACAAAUGCCAGAUUCCUUUGAUCAGGAUUGAGUCAAAUUUAAUGGAAUGGAAGCCGAGAUGAUGCGCCAAUUUUAAACUGUCCUCAAGCGUAUGAUUCGGGAACUAGGAUGUCGAUUCAUGUAAAAUCCUCAUUGUGGCGGCCAUCAACCAUGUAAAAUACGUACUUAAAAUGUCCCCUUUAAAAUGUCCUUAAAUUUGUUUAAUAUGGUCACACUUUUUAGCUAGCGCCAAAAUUUCAGUAAGCGGAAUUUUAAUUAUUUAACGAAAAAGUCGCCUGGGGUCGCCACUGUCAUCAAAAAGGAUAUCUUGACAUGCAAUUUACAUUACAUAGACAUGUAUUUGUAAUUGUAAAUUUGUGUAAAAUUCCAGAUAUUUAUUCCGAGCUCGGUUCACGAGUUCCCUGUUUUUACACGGCGACCAAUUAAUUAAGAUGACAGCUUAGGUUAUCAGUGGGUCGAAUUUAGUCUAUGUUGUUUUCAACAAAUUUCCCAAACUCGUAAGAUUAAUGUUAUGCCACUUAUUGGUUGUGAAACAACACUCUUAUCGCAAGUUGCGAAAAUAAACUCUGAUCUCGCCUGGAGGGAUUCACAAUGAGCUUCAGUCGAGCUUCUAUCACAUUUCACAGACCGACAGCCCCCAGUCGAGCCUCGACUUCUUCACCAUGCGAAUGUUCAAUAUCCUGAAGCUCCUUGCCGCCGACUGCCUCUGCCUACCAGGAAUGUUGGCGCCUAUUGCUGCUGGGACCAGACUUCGAUGUACUACUGAGCUCCUGAAGAUAUAUGGGAUCUGGAAAACUGCUAUGAACUGCCGCCUUCAAACAUCGAUUUCAUAAUUAAGAUCUGCAGCUGGGAAGAAAGUCCAUGAGGAGAUUGCAGGAUAAGCUUUGAAUAAAGAAAAUGCGAAAAUGCGGUAUUUA